rnacentral:rRNA from 1 species
GAUGAACGCUGGCGGCGUGCCUAAUACAUGCAAGUCGAGCGAACAGAUGAGGAGCUUGCUCCUCUGACGUUAGCGGCGGACGGGUGAGUAACACGUGGAUAACCUACCUAUAAGACUGGGAUAACUUCGGGAAACCGGAGCUAAUACCGGAUAAUAUAUUGAACCGCAUGGUUCAAUAGUGAAAGACGGUUUUGCUGUCACUUAUAGAUGUAUCCGCGCCGCAUUAGCUAGUUGGUAAGGUAACGGCUUACCAAGGCAACGAUGCGUAGCCGACCUGAGAGGGUGAUCGGCCACACUGGAACUGAGACACGGUCCAGACGCCUACGGGAGGAAGCAGUAGGGAAUAUUCCGCAAUGGGCGAAAGCAUGACGGAGCAAGGCCGCGUGAGUGAUGAAGGUCUUCGGAUCGUAAAACUCUGUUAUUAGGGAAGAACAAAUGUGUAAGUAACUAUGCACGUAUUGACGGUACCUAAUCAGAAAGCCACGGCUAACUACGUG